UGUUGCCCAGGUCACGCGCUUCUGCCGCUUUUUCAGGUUCAAAAGUGGCUUGACCUGGGGAAUGUGGCACCUGUAGCCCAUUUCCUGCACAUGGCUGUACACGGUGGCUCUGGAUGUUUCUACUCCAGACUCAGUCCACUGCUUCCGCAGGUCCCCCAAGGUCUGGAGUCGGUCCUUCACUACAAUCUUCCUCAGGGUCCGGUCAUCUCUUCUCUUUGUGCGGCGUUUUCUGCCACACUUUUUCCUUCCCUCAGACUUCCCACUGAGGUGUCUUGAUACAGCACUCUGGGAACAGAAAUUCCUUUCUGUAUCGUACCCUCUUGCUGGACGGUGUCAAUGAUGGCCUUCUGGACAGCAGUCAGUUCGGCAGUCUUACCCAGGAUUGCGGUUUUGAGUAAUGAACCAGGCUGGGAGUUUU
ensembl:processed_transcript